rnacentral:rRNA from 1 species
CUAGGGAAACUGGGUCUAAUACCGGAUAGGAGCCAUUUUUAGUGUGAUGGUUGGGAAGUUUUUUCGGUGUAGGAUGAGCUCGCGGCCUAUCAGCUUGUUGGUGGGGUAAUGGCCUACCAAGGCGGCGACGGGUAGCCGGCCUGAGAGGGUGGACGGCCACAUUGGGACUGAGAUACGGCCCAG